CAGAUGCAAAAGGGAAGGGAGAAACCUCCGGGCCAGCGGGUGACUCAGUGCUAGUGGGCCCGCUUAGUCACCUGGAUGGCUGCUCCUGGCUCCUGGCACAUCAGGCAGGGAGCAGUGCCCUCCCCCACCUGCUAUCAACAGCAGGGCUGUCAAAGGUAGAGUGGCCCAGGAGUGCCAGCUGGCCCAGGGCUUCCUGGCAGGCGGCACUGGCGAGCUCUGGCUGCCUUCCCCGUGCUGGCCGCGGAGGGCUCCUCCUCCACCGUGCACCCAGGCUCACUUAGGGAUUUCUCCAUUAAAUCCUCAGGCAACGACCGACUCCUUUAGGAUGCUGAGCUGCUCCAACGUUGCUUGGCAAUUUUGAUAUCGUCGGAGGUUGCCAUGGGGAGGAGGGUGAUGUCAUUGACACAAAAAAAACCCCACUGAAUUUACAAAUCAGCUGGGGCUGGAGCUAUUUAUAAAAAGACGUUUUUCCCCUGCCUUCCUUUACUGAGGGGGAGGGAGAGGAUGGGCUGCCUGCUUGGCUCAGUGGAAGCCUCCCCCCAGUCUCCCAGUAGCCAGACUGCCUGGGCGCUCCACCCCCGCAGAGUGGCGGGACUGAGACCCGGCAGGCCCUAGCCAUAGCCGGCUGAGCCCUCUUUUGGGGUCUUGGCUGGCUGUGCGGUGAAGGGCGGAGAGAGUGGCACGUGAUGGGUGCUGGGCAGGGUGAGUGCCGGCUUCCUGGCUUGGCAGGGACCAGAAGCCAGCCACUUAACUGGACCCCUUCCUGUCACUACUUCUGGUCAGAAACAGGGGCAUGUGCAGGUAAGCAGCUUGAGCUGCUCCGGGUGCCCCCUGCCCCUGCAAGCUCCCCCGAGUGCACCACAAUGCCCUCCCUACUUCUGAGCUUCCCUGGCUCCUUUUCUUCUCCAGUGUACAACUGUGGGUGCUCAAGUCCCAGUGCAGCUCCCUGCUCCUCUCUGCCGCACUCACCCGCACUCCUGGAACACCGCACUGUGGCUUCCACCGUCACCCUGGACAUGCUGGACCCAGAGGCCCCGCCUGGCUGGGGUGCAGGCACAGGCCCUGCUGGCCAGCUCCAGCUCCUGCUCCCCAGCCCACCGCAGCUGAUGGCAGCCAGAGGGAAGCCUGCUGUUUUCCUUGACUUUUCCCACCCCCAGGCCUUUACCUCCAAGGUGGCUCUAGGUUGCUCAUAAUAUUUUUGAAAAUUCUUUCAUACAUAUUCUUCCAUAGUGAAGUAAUAUGGUGUUUGGUGAAAAGCCCAGGCUCUGAGUUUUCACACCUGAGUUCCCAUCUCAGCUCUGCCGUUCAUCAGCCAAGGUUUGGCAUUAACUUCAGCAUGUUAUUUAACCAACUGUACUCAGUUUUCCUCAUCCAUAAAGUGGGGAUGAGUUCACCUGCCUCACAGGGCUGUGGGGAUUAAAUGAACAGAGCUCCAGGCACAGGGACUGCUCAUCCUGGGAGCUCAGUCAACAUUUUCUUCUUAGUUUUCGUGAUGUUUGUUGUUUAUUCUUACCCACCCACCAACUGGUGGCAGGUUAAUCUUCCAAACCACGACCCCAGUCCGUCCUGUGCAAAAGUCUCAAGCUGCACACAUAGACAUUUUGACUGACUGCCACUGAAUUGGACUACAUGACAUUAAUCAUAAAAACUUCAAUUAGUCAGGUCCUCUAGCAGCCUUGGAACCCACCCCAGCUCCAUCUAGAGCAGGAAAUAAAUUUUUUGACAGGUAAUUAACUCCUAGCACUGAUGAGAAGCCUGGAGAAUCAAGUGCAGGACAGAAGCCAGAGCAGCCUCGAAGUCUCCAGGCAUCAGGAUGGACUCUGCAGCCUCCACACUGCCCUGUCCCUGGACAGAAGGUGCUCCCACCAUGCGUACCAACUAGUGCACCUCUGAGUCUGAGAAUCUGGCUGGUGGGUUCACUGCCCACCUCUGCCAUUGGUGGAGGGGAGGGUAUCCUGGGCACAGUGCUUCUGUUGUCACAUAUGUGGGGAGGAAAAUUGGGGUGCUGUUACUAAAGGAAAGGGGAAUGGGUGCUGGAUGCCAAAGCUAGCCAGUGGUCACCACCGCAUCUUUGCCAUUUUUCCUAAUCAUUUUUAAUUCCCGAGUGUGAUAAUCAGCAGUUGUUGAUUGUUUUAUCUUCUUGUCUUUGUGGACUUCUGAAAACUGAUGGCCAGCAUAAACAGACCUGUCUCUCUGCUCCGUAGUGUUGCAUGACUUCUUGUGCAACUAUCUGCAAACUUCGAUCUGCUUCUUUUGUAGGCUGUAGAAAUUAGGGGGUCUGCCAGCCAUUGGGAGAAACACUGCAAAGCCCAGCUGCCUGUUGCAGGGGGCGGGCAGGCAGAUGCCCAUGUUCCUGAGUCAGUGGUGUGUUCUGUGCCCUUCUUUACGCUGCAGUCGCCUCUCUGCUUAUCCCAGCAGGCUGUGAGCUCUUUGGGUCAGGAAACCCAGCAUGGUUCUUGGCAUAUAGCAGAUACUCAUGAAAACUUUGUUGACUGAACAAAUGAAUGAACCUCUGAAGAGGUUCUAUGGCCAUCCUUACUUAGAAUACAGUGAGUCAUGGAGCUGAAAGGACUCCAGAGUCAUCAGCUCCACCCUUCCUUGUACAGGUGAGAAAACUGCAGCCCUGAGAGAUUAAGUGACUCAGCAAAGCCUCAGAGGACAUUAGAGGCAAAGUUGGGACUGGAACUCAGCUUUCCUUCCUCACACCCUGAUGUUCCCUUUGCUGCCUACACAGCCCUUUCUAGCUCCCGCCCUGAGUGUGACAUAUCUGUAAUUCAGUCAAAAGCAGCAGCCGUGCUGUCGCCACGGGUGUCUGCCUUUGAAUCUCAAGCCAGGGAAUUGCAGCAGUGUGAAUCAGCCAAAACAGUGUCCUUACAAUUUAUUUAAAAAAUUUUUUUAAAAUUUUGGUAUCAUUAAUAUACAGUUAAAUGAGCAACAUUGUAGUUACUAGAUUCCCCCCAUUAUCAAGUCCCCACCACAUACCCCAUUACAGCCACUGUCCAUCAGCGUAGUAAGAUGCUGUAGAGUCACUACUUGUCUUCUCUAUGCUAUACUGCCUUCCCUGUGCCCCCCUCUACAUUAUGUGUGCUAAUCGUAAUGCCCCUUAUUCCCUUUAUCCCUCCCUUCCCUCCCAUCCUCCCCAGUCUCUUUCCCUUUGGUAACUGUUAGUCCAUUCUUGGGUUCUGUGAGUCUGCUGCUGUUUUGUUCCUUCAGUUCUUUGUUUUUAUACUCCACAUAUGAGUGAAAUCAUUUGGUACUUGUCUUUCUCCACCUGGCUUAUUUCACUGAGCAUAAUACCCUCUAGCUCCAUCCAUGUUGUUGCAAAUGGUAGGAUUUGUUUUCUUCUUAUGGCUGAAUAAUAUUCCAUUGUGUAUAUGUACCACCUCUUCUUUAUCCAUUCAUCUGCUGAUAGACACUUAGGUUGCUUCCAUUUCUUGGCUGUUGUAAAUAGUGCUGCAAUAAACAUAGGGGUGCAUCUGUCUUUUUCAAACUGGGCUCCUGCAUUCUUAGGGAAAAUUCCUAGUAGUGGAAUUCCUGGGUCAAAUGGUAUUUCUAUUUUUAGUCUUUUGAGGAACCUGCACACUGCUUUCCCCAAUGGUUGAACUAAUUUACAUUCCUACUAGCAGUGUAGGAGGACUCCCCUUUCUCCAUGUCCUUACAAUUUCUUAAUGAAGUCUCUCACAUUAUACACUUAAUAGUCCCCAAAGUAAGUUGCCUCAUCUGCACCAUCCAGGUUCAACUGGAAUGACUGCUUACAUCAACAGUGUCCCACUGCCUGGUUUUAAAAAAAAUCGUUUGGGGAUGUGUUUGGAAAGGCUAUGUAACAAUGAAGACCUAAAAUUUUCAUAAAAGAUGAGGAAAGGUUUUUUCCUAUAAACCUUAAAUAGGAAAGGUUUUUCCUAUAAAAUAAAAGAUUUUUUUUACUGUUUUUGAAAAGCAUAAAAAGUUUCAGAAACAAAGUCUGGGGAUCUAGAGUGUGGUAAAAUUCCCUUGUCCUGUCAAAUUUUUUACAUCUUUAGAUUGCUCCCCAUACUCCCUGCCCGUCUUGUGCUGUGUAUAGAAGGUGCCUUACGAAGGGUUUUCUGAUGGCUGUGUGGGCCUGUUGCCACCUGCCUACGCUCAUCACCACCUCUCAUCACAGAGAGGUGCCCCCCACCAUCCCAAGCCAGGGCAGGCUUUAGAAAGGAUUAGUGGCAGGUGUUGUCACUGAGGCUCUGUGUUCUGCACUCCAGGGCUGGCAUUACCUCAGCCCUGGGCUUCCAGAAAAAACAGGCCAGAGGUAGGGGCCCUGCCUUCAAGAGAUUUUCCCAGAUGACUUCCUGCAGGGCAGGUGGGGUGCAUGGGAAGCAGAUGCCUCCAGGGCACCUGCCUGCCCUCCAAGGUAUUGGUAGUGAAGAGAGGGAUGACCAAGUCAAGUCCUGGGGCUCCUCAGUGGAAAGGAAGCUGAAGGGCCUUGUCGGAUAGGGAUGCUCUGGGUCCCUUUGGGCCCUCUCUUCCAGCCCUGCUCCCUCUCCCCUCCUAUAGGGGCAGGAGGAGGCAGAGAGCCCAGGGCAAUGAGGUGUCCUGGUGGCUGGAGGGUGACUGGCAGGGGGACCCUCUCCACCAUACUCCAUGGAGUAGGAGGGCCUGCUGGGCUGCAGAUUAGGGAUUUUCUCCAGGAACUCUUUCCAACAAAAGCAAAUUGGGAUAGCUCAGGAGUUAUGCCUUUUAAUUGCUGCUGUCCAAUACCCUUGUUGCUAGGCCACUGCGCCUCCGGCCUUGGUCAGAAAGCCCAGGGCUGUUCCUUUGCCUAGAAGCCAAGAGGGAGUGACAAGGCCUUCCAGUAGCCGGGCUGUGGAACCUGCCUGGAUACUAAUGGGCGGGGGAAGCAGGAAAGGCAAAGGGACCGUGGUCAGCCUGUGGGGCACAGGGAUGAUGCUCUGAUAAGUGGGUUUAGCAUCCCUCAUGCCUCCAUCCCUACAGUGUCCCUGCCUCUGGGACGACUGGGGAAACAAGAAGAUAGGAUAACAGGUGCUUAGCCAGAGGGCGGACAGGCCAAGAGAAGAGGCCAGUGUCAGCAGAUGGCCUGAGAGGGCAGAAGGGAGGCACCAUUUUGUAUGGUCUUCCCUUCCUGCCCAAUCCUUGCCACGAUGAUGCAGGGGACAUGAGGGAGUAAGGUGCAGAUCAAAAUCUCAACAGGAUUAGGAGUGACCCUGGCUGGGGACCCUGCCAUCGACCUCCAACAGCAGGAGAAACAGGAUGAGGCUUUCCUGCAAACAGCCUCUAUGGAAGGCGCUGGAAGUGAAAAAAGAAGACUUCUGUCAGAGGAAAUGGGUGCCCCUCUGCUCUGGCCACGUGGACUUAGAAGUGAGUUAGGCUGGUCCCAGGGGGACUCCAGGGGGCUGACCUCGAGGCGUUAAUGCUCAGAAACUGGUCAGAGUCACAAACUGCAGAGUCCCAGUAUGGACUGCCAAGUGUAUCUUCUCUCUAGCAGAGAUGUGAUGGGCCUUUGCCAUCCACCAGCCCCAGUCCACCAGGAGCAGAAUCUUGAUGACGAAUCUCAGCUUCUGUGACAAGCCAGGGCUAGUGAUAAAUCUGGCAGCCCGGGUGAUGCAAAGCAGCAGGACAUGCGGAGGACACGUGUCUCGACAAUGACUGUGGCUAAAAGCUAAUCUUCUGGUCAUAGUUUAUAGGCUGUGCCCUGUGCUAAACGCUUGCUGGACUUAACUCAUUCAAUUCUCACAAUAAUCCAAUUAAUAAAUCCAUUCAAUAAAUACCUAUUGAAUACCUGCUAGGUACACAGCUCUGUAUUGGUGCUGAGGAUAAUUCAGUAAACAAGAUGAGUUUCUGUCCUCAUGAAAUUCACAGUCUAGGUAGGAACUAUUAUUCCAUUCCAGAAAGGAGGCAACUAAGGCCUCUUGAAGUUGAUUUACUCAGAACAGGGGUUUGAACCCAGGCAAACUGUUCCAGAGCGCAGGAUGCUUUUUGCUACCAAAUCCUUUUUUCUUCCCACCACCACCCAUGUGGCAGACACUACUGGUUCCCUCUCUAUAUCCAUCUCACCUCCCUUCUUACUUGCUGGAAGAAAGUCAAUUUAUUUCCAGGUACACUCUCCUACCUGCACAUUCAGGGGAGGGCCCCUUCCCAGUGCCAGGCCUAAGGGUGAAUUUUGAUAGUUUGAACCCAUUUUGGUAAUUCCCUUCCUUUGCCAGGGAUUGAUUUAGGCCCCUCUUCUCUUGACAACCCUGCCAAGAGAAGAGGGAAGGUUUCCUAGGAGGGUUUUUGGGCAGUUUUCUGGUGCUGCUCCAUUGCUGAGCUUGGAACUGUGGUGGCCGGUGGUUCCCUCAGAGGACCAGCGUCAACAUGCUGAGGACGGCAGACUCGAGAGGUGCCAACGACUUGGGUCCCUCAUGAACCGCGGGGCUCCCGACUUACUGCUGGUGGCCUUUGAAGUGGGAGCCAUCAGCCCUAUCUUAUAGAUGGCAGACCGACCUGCCCUGAGCAUGCAGCUGGAAACCUUUUUACUUGCAGAUCCAGCUUGGGCAUCGGCGAGAGCACUGUGACUUGGGUAGAAGGUUUCUUACACAACCGUCCUUGGGAGGAUGAAGGCUCUAUCAGUGGAAGAGGAUUAGUGGAUGUACACUGUGUGAAUGCCCAGCCUGGCCAGCUGCCUCUACCCCAUUCCAGAAGACCAGAAGUUUGCUCCUGGAGAGUGUAAAACAGAAGACCUCUGGACUAGAGGACACCAGACACUGCUGAGGAUUGGAACAUCAUAUGGAAGAAAGGGAAAAAAAAGCUUAUAUAUCCAAUGGUAUUGGCUUAUCUUCUACAAAAAACUCUGCAGAGGCACUCAGUUCUGUUAAGGAUUUUAGUAGUUGUCUACGAUACUGUGAACACCAGGGUGACUGAGUAGGGUUGUCUGGGAGGAAAAAGUUGGAAAACAAAAAAC